ACUCCUACGGGAGGCAGCAGUAGGGAAUCUUCCACAAUGGACGAAAGUCUGAUGGAGCAACGCCGCGUGAGUGAAGAAGGAUUUCGGUUCGUAAAACUCUGUUGCAAGGGAAGAACAAGUAGCGUAGUAACUGGCGCUACCUUGACGGUACCUUGUUAGAAAGCCACGGCUAACUACGUGCCAGCAGCCGCGGUAAUACGUAGGUGGCAAGCGUUGUCCGGAAUUAUUGGGCGUAAAGCGCGCGCAGGUGGUUCCUUAAGUCUGAUGUGAAAGCCCCCGGCUCAACCGGGGAGGGUCAUUGGAAACUGGGGAACUUGAGUGCAGAAGAGGAUAGUGGAAUUCCAAGUGUAGCGGUGAAAUGCGUAGAGAUUUGGAGGAACACCAGUGGCGAAGGCGACUGUCUGGUCUGUAACUGACACUGAGGCGCGAAAGCGUGGGGAGCAAACAGGAUUAGAUACCCUGGUAGUC
rnacentral:rRNA from 1 species